rnacentral:rRNA from 1 species
GACGUAGGGCGCGAGCGUUGGCCGGAUUUAUUGGGCGUAAAGAGCUCGUAGGCGGCUUGUCGCGUCGACUGUGAAAACCCGCGGCUCAACUGCGGGCCUGCAGCCGAUACGGGCAGGCUAGAGUUCGGUAGGGGAGACUGGAAUUCCUGGUGUAGCGGUGAAAUGCGCAGAUAUCAGGAGGAACACCGAUGGCGAAGGCAGGUCUCUGGGCAUUAACUGACGCUGAGGAGCGAAAGCAUGGGGAGCGAACAGG